rnacentral:rRNA from 1 species
AUUGAACGCUGGCGGCAGGCUUAACACAUGCAAGUCGAGCGGGGUGAUGGUGCUUGCACUAUCACUUAGCGGCGGACGGGUGAGUAAUGCUUAGGAAUCUGCCUAUUAGUGGGGGACAACAUCUCGAAAGGGAUGCUAAUACCGCAUACGUCCUACGGGAGAAAGCGGGGGAUCACUUGUGACCUUGCGCUAAUAGAUGAGCCUAAGUCGGAUUAGCUAGUUGGUGGGGUAAAGGCCUACCAAGGCGACGAUCUGUAGCGGGUCUGAGAGGAUGAUCCGCCACACUGGGACUGAGACACGGCCCAGACUCCUACGGGAGGCAGCAGUGGGGAAUAUUGGACAAUGGGGGGAACCCUGAUCCAGCCAUGCCGCGUGUGUGAAGAAGGCCUUAUGGUUGUAAAGCACUUUAAGCGAGGAGGAGGCUCUUUUGGUUAAUACCCAAGAUGAGUGGACGUUACUCGCAGAAUAAGCACCGGCUAACUCUGUGCCAGCCGCCGCGGUAAAAC